GUGCUCGCUUCUGCAGCACAUAUACUAAAAUUGGAAUGACACAUAGAAGAUUAACAUGGCCCCUGUGCAAGGAUGACAUGCAAAUUCAUGAAGCGUUCCAUAUUUUU
ensembl:snRNA U6 U6 spliceosomal RNA